UACAGAGGUCUCAACCGUUGUUCGGAUUCAUUGGGCGUAAAGGGUGCGUAGGCGGUCGCGCAAGUCGGAUGUGAAAUCUCAGGGCUCAACCCUGAAACUGCAUUCGAUACUGCGUGGCUAGAGUGCUGGAGAGGAGACUGGAAUUUACGGUGUAGCAGUGAAAUGCGUAGAUAUCGUAAGGAAGACCAGUGGCGAAGGCGAGUCUCUGGACAGCAACUGACGCUGAGGUGCGAAAGCGUGGGGAGCAAACAGG
rnacentral:rRNA from 1 species